rnacentral:lncRNA from 1 species
AGACACGCACAAAUGUAUAUUAUAUCACACGUACUUGCACUAACACAAAGACUACACAAUGUAAGAAGGUUCUUAAGCAAGAAAUGGACAUGGGAUAUAUAUAGCUAAUUAUCAAUCAUACAAACUAAGUGACACAUGCCACGGUUCAGCUCACAGAUCAGCAAUGUAACACUACAAACACAAGUCUGAAAUUGAACAAAUCACUAUAUUAUACAGUACUAACUCCUGUGAAUUACAGAGAGAGAAAGAGAUAGAAACUGCAGCAGGAUUGGGAAUACAGAAAAGAAGCAGAGCAUCAGGGAGUGAGGAGCAGCAAGGGGGCGCUGGAGAGGAGCAGUAAGUGGACGCUGGAGAGAGCAGGUAGCAGCAACAGCGUUUGGGAGAUUCAGAGAAGAAGCAGGGAAGCAGCGAGGUAGGCGAAGAAGGAGCAGCAGCAGAGGUACAGAGAGAAACUGAGAGGUGGUGGAGCAGAAGCAAGGCAAAGAAAGAAACAGAGCAAGGGAAGCAGAGGAAGCAGCAGUAGAUGGAGAAGAGAAGAAGAACAUCAGUAGGGUUAGGAGGAGAAGAAAGGUGGAGGAGCAGCAGGGAGAUGGAUGGGAGGCGGCGCGAGGUGGUGAGGCGGUGCUGGUGGCGGCGUUGAUGGAGGCGCGGUGGUGGAUCGGGCGCCGGUGCUGGUGCUGGUGGAUGGUGGCGAAGAUGGCGCUGGUGAUGGCAUGGUGGAUGGUGCAGAUCGAGUGGAUGGAUGGCUGUGUGGCACGCCGCCACGCCGGCCUGGCCGCGGUGGUGGAGAAGGUGGGGUGAGGGAGAAGAGAGAUUUGCCAGGCCCGAGGGGAAUUGUAGAUGGACUAGGGAUUUUGACCCCUCGAUCUGAUCUUCCAUUUGCACAAUGGCCCUCCUGCUUCCUUCUUUCUUCACAAGAAAAUCCCUCUCUUCUCUAGUUGGCCCCCUGGUUACUUUGUUUCUUCUCGCACAAGUCCAUUCUUCCUCCUCUUCUUCGUUCUCUUAGCCACUUAGUCCGGAUCUUGAAGUUUAUAGUGCCUUCUCACACUUUUCUGCAAAACAAACCACUGAGUAGUAAAUCACCCCUUUAUAUGAUUAUCAUUCACAAAUUCAACAAUUCAUAGCAAGAAAUGAAUGAAUAUAACUCAAUAAACCGCAUAUUUGAGUGCCAAAAGAUGUAUAUGAAAUGUGUUGAUCAAGUUCCCCCACACUUAAAUCUUUGCUUGUCCUCAAGCAAAGGAAUAUGACAAAGGCAAGAUAGUGAACAGUGACCUGACUAGAGAAUGUCAAGUGAAGUAGAUCUCUAAACAGUGCAUGCUUUGGACUUUCCUAGUGAAAAUUAAUGGUUAAGAGUGCUACAUAUCAAUAGGACACUAGUAAACUCGACCAUUUUAAACUUUUGCAAUGAUAAACGAAGAUUAGCAAGUUCAAAUGCUGACUGUGCCAACACGUUCCUAAAGAGAGCAUGAUCCUGAGAACAAAAGGAACUUUAAUUAAAACACUUAUUUGCAGAAAUAUAACAUUGUGGUUGAACCACUUAUUAAAUUUGAAGGAAAUAAUGAUAAUAUUUUAUCGGUCUCACCAAAGGAACAUACCACCGAUCCGGAGAACAUGGUAUACACCUGGCUCGACCAAUUAUUAGUUUUUUUGUUUGUCUCCCCAAAGGAACAUACCACCGAUCCCGAGAACAUGGUAUACACCUGGUUCGACAAUUACAUUUUUAUUAUUGAUUACUGCCCAAGCUAACCCGAUUUCACAUGCCACCGAUCCAGGGAACAUGACAUGCUACUGUAGGUAGUCAGACUUAUUUAUUCAUUAUUACUUAUUUUAAAUGAACAACGCAUAAGUACAAAAACAGGGAUCCUCACUUCGCCAUGUCUGGUUCACAUGCUACCGAUCCAGGGAACAUAGCAUACUAGUUGAUGAGGAACACUAGAUGAGAAGAAAGAAAACACAUGCCAGAUCUGUUUGGCUACUUCUAGAUGCUUCCACUCUAGUGUAGUAUUUCUUUCCUUUUCUUUUCUAUCCUACCUACUGUUUUCUAGAGUCUUCUAGUUGUGAGUAGCUAUGAGUAGAAUGGUGAAACUUACAUAAUGUUUUCUAGAGUAUUCCAGCUAUAAGUAGAAGUAUGUGAAGGCUUCCCAAAGCCCUAUAAAUAAAGGUCUUCGCCUCUACUUUGGAGGCAGACUAUGUAUCCCUACCUAUAAUAGAACUUGUUGUUCUUAUCUAAGAUCUUGGAGUAGAUCUUGUGCCCUAGGAGUUCUGGAUUGAACUCUUGCUGCCCUAUCAACCUACAUUCGCCUCUAGAGCGAUAUCUAGCGCAGCACGUUGAAGCUGUUCCUUCAACACUUGUGCUGUACACAUUGUAGCAGCAAGGUGGAGUUGCUCCUCCACAAACUUUGUGCUGCUUCACUAGUCCAUAGUGGUAAAGUGAUUGCUCUCAAUGGGAACACAAUAGGCACAAACUCAGCAUCUAACACUUAAUGACCUAAGUGUAUCAAGGUAAAAGCAGAAAAUGAUAAAGUUUACUAGUGCACUAGGGAUUUGAGCACUCAAAACUAAUAGUUCUCACUAAUUUCAGCAAAGCAAACAGGGUGUAGAUCACUAGUUUACAAGGCAUUCAACAAUCAGUUUGCAUAUUCUCAUCAAGCACCAUAUGUCAAAGGUGAAAUUCAGUGGGACAACAUUUAAGAAAUGGCACAAGCAACCCAAAUAGCAAUUUAAUUCAGCAAGCAUCAAUGGAUGAUGAUUUCAAAAUGGGUCAUGAAACAGCUCACCGGGCUUUGAUGAUGUAGCACUCGCUCGAUCAUCUCACCAACUGCAGCUCUUCUCCUUUGCUUCCUCAUGGAUGCUCCAGCUUCACUCUUCUUCGUGUUUGCCCCCUGCUUCUCCUCAUCACCAUGCUCUGAGUCCACCGGGGUCCCAAGGAAUGUCACCUUGAACCUGGUCAGCAUGUAUUGAUUGGUGCACAAGCAAAAACCUGAAAAGGCACUCAACCAAAGAGACAAUACGAGUGACAGGAGUAAUUCCCUCUAAAUCAUCAAUAGAGUACCCAAUUACAUAAGCAUAGCUAUAAAGCACAUGUUUAGGAUGGUAGAAAUCAGUAAGCUCAAUGCUAGCAUAAGGAUGAUAUUUAUCAUUAAGCAUAGGUCUAGCAUGAGGAGAGUAAGUGUCAUCAUAAAAUGAGAGAAAUGCCAAUAACAGGGUAUGUAUGAUCAUGUCCAAGCAAAUAGUUUUUCGAGUCUAGCUUAAUUGAUGGUAUCAUGCAAUGCAAAGUAGUAGCAAACAGAUCAUCUGGACGCAUGUCAUCAUGAGGAUUAGAUAAACCUGCUACAUCACGCUCUUGUAUGACAAUAGGCAAAUGAAUUUCUGGUUCUUCAUCUUCAACUACAACAGCUUCUUCUACUUCUUCGGGAGUGGUAGACAUUGGAUCUUCAACUUGUUCAUUUGGGUAUUCGAGCUCUGGAUCAUCUUGUUCCUUGGCUUCGAGAAUUUCUUCUUGGAUCUGAACUAUCUCUUCCUAUGGACUCUCGCUAUCUUGCUCAGCUGAAUGUGAAGGUGUUGGAACCUCACAUGUAUCAAUGGAUAUCUCAGCCACACUAAACUCAAGCUGUGAUGAUAUAGUACUGCCAGCGUUGAUAUUCUUCUCAAUCUUCCUUACUUCUUCCACUAGCUCUUUGCCACUCUUGAUCUUCUUCAUUUCCUCUAGUAUCACCUUCCUAAUAGGAUCAUCUUCCGCACUCCAAGUGAACUCGAGACUAAGCAAUGUGAGCUUGUCUAUGUCAUCGAACUCAUCUUGUGUGGGCACUUGUGCAUGAGAUUGCUCAACAGGUGCUGGAGUUGUUGGUUGACCAAGUGGAGGACCAUUUAACUCCAUUGGACACAUCUCCCGGUGUUGAGGUACAUGAAUAAGAGCUGAAUAAAACUGCUGUGGUGCAUAGUUGUUGCUCUCCUCAUUGUACCUAAUUCCCUGCAAUGGAUUACUAGAGGCAAACGAUGAGAUCUCAGGGUUGUUGUUCCUAUAUGACAUAUUCUGGUUUUCAGGCCACCCAUAUGAGUAAUUGUUUUGGUAUGAGCUAGGCUGUGGGGCGAAGCUCAUGCCAUAAAAAUCGGGAGGGUGAGAGUAACCACGCUGACAUUCAGCGGGUGAAUGGCCCUGAAAUUCACAAAUAUGGCAUAUAGGAGCAACAUAAGGAUGACCUCUAGAAUAAGGAUCAUAAGAGCUAGGCCUAUCCUCAAAAACUACUUCUCGUUGCCGAGCUAAAUCAUCUAAUCGAUGGGAAAUCUUACUUAUCAGUUCUUGAAUACUUUCCGGCUGUUUGUAGUGUUGCUCGCAUAAGCAUGAUGAUCUGAGUAGAAUGCCAUUUCCAAGAAGACAAUUCAACCUACAAAAUGAACAAGAAAAGAAAGAGAAGAUAACUAGAACAGUGGUUAGGGGUAAGAGAUAUAUCACAAAUAUAUGGCACUAGAUAGAAAAAGAAGCAAAACCUAGUCUAUAGCUUCACACAAUCGUUCGACGCUAGUCCCUGGCAACGGCGCCAAAAUGAUCCAUUGAAAGUACAGUUGGAUAUUUCGCCCAAACUGCGAGUGUGUCGUGUUCUCCACAGGGACUAGGCAAGUCAAUGAUCAUGCUCGGAUAAAGCUAGGUAACACAAUUCAGACUAUGAAUGCAAGAAAAUAAACCUAAACUAAACAAGGUAGUUCCUGAAGAUCGUUGCCAAAGAAAAUGCAAAAUAAGCAAAGGGAGAUUCAAAUUUUCUAUACUGUCUUUUUGGCAAUUUGCAUAUUACUCGAGGAAUUUAAUGCUAACACAAGCAAACAUCAAACGGCUAGGGAACUAAAAAGACAUGAACAUAUAUAAAACUAUCUAACAUUUAACAAGGUGAAGAAACAAGGUUGUAGGAUAGAACAUAAAAUGCAUCACAUCACUGACACGCACAAAUGUAUAUUAUAUCACACGUACUUGCACUAACACAAAGACUACACAAUGUAACAAGGUUCUUAAGCAAGAAAUGGACAUGGGAUAUAUAUAGCUAAUUAUCAAGCAUACAAACUAAGUGACACAUGUCACGGUUCAGCUCACAGAUCAGCAAUGUAACACUACAAACACAAGUCUGAAAUUGAACAAAUCACUAUAUUAUACAGUACUAACUCUUGUGAAUUACAGAGAGAGAAAGAGAUAGAAACUGCACCAGGAUUGGGAAUACAGAAAAGAAGCAGAGCAUCAGGGAGUGAGGAGCAGCAAGGGGGCGCUGGAGAGGAGCAGUAAGUGGACGCUGGAGAGAGCAGGUAGCAGCAGCGUUUGGGAGAUUCAGAGAAGAAGCAGGGAAGCAGCGAGGUAGGCGAAGAAGGAGCAGCAGCAGAGGUACAGAGAGAAAUUGAGAGGUGGUGGAGCAGAAGCAAGGCAAAGAAAGAAGCAAAGCAAGGGAAGCAGAGGAAGCAUCAGUAGAUGGAGAAGAGAAGAAGAACAUCAGUAGGGUUAGGAGGAGAAGAAAG